rnacentral:lncRNA from 1 species
GGAUGGGGGAUACUGUUACAAGGAAGGCUUUGGGUAACAAUAUUGUGGCGAAUGUAACCCCAUCUUUGAUGGGAUGGGUCAAUAAGGUUUUGUCAUUAUAACCAUAUAUGUUGUUUAUAAAUAUGAUUUAUUGAUUUCAUUAUACAUGUUUUUCAUUGUGUUGCUUCUUCGUCAUUUUAAUAAUAAAUGACAGUUUUCAAUUCUUAAAUAUUUGUUUGUUUGUCAUUCUUUCAUCCCAUCAAACAGAGCAAGCCUGUGUUGACAAAAAUGCUAAUUUUUAUUAAAAAUGAUUUUUUGGCAAACUAGGCGGUACUAUGGAAAGCGGCAUAACUCUUUGUUCUUAUUUGGUAGAAACGUAAAUACCAAGUUAUUCCUUCCCCUGAUCAUGUUAUAUGAUCUCAGAAGGCGCUUCAGUUGCAGUUAGAAGUGGCAGGAAAAUUUUGGAACUAAAAAUUAUACCCACCAUCCCUCCCUGGAUAGCUAAUCCGGAUUUUU